AAGGAAAGCAACUGAAAGGAAAACUAAGAAAAUAAAUAAGCUCUCAGAAUAUGCAUAUCCAGUAGCCUUGUAUCUCUUUUCUAUUUAUAGGCUUUGUUGCUUGGAGAGGAAUCCUAUGUUCUACCUGUGUAAUGGUUUUUGGCAUGCAUGUCCGACACAUUUGCCCCUUUAUUGGUCCCUGUAGUGGAGUAUUCUUCCAAAUAUGUAGGUGCAACUUUUGGCCUGUUGCUGCGCCUAAGUGUGAGUGGGUCCAUUACCUCUAUUCAUAACAUAGGCUCCAU
rnacentral:misc_RNA from 1 species